GCACUCUCGUUUAGAUUGAAGGAGCUUGCUCCUGAUUGAUAAACAUUUGAGUGAGUGGCGGACGGGUGAGUAACACGUGGGUAACCUGCCCUAAAGUGGGGGAUAACAUUUGGAAACAGAUGCUAAUACCGCAUAAAACCUAACACCGCAUGGUGUAGGGUUGAAAGAUGGUUUCGGCUAUCACUUUAGGAUGGACCCGCGGUGCAUUAGUUAGUUGGUGAGGUAAAGGCUCACCAAGACCGUGAUGCAUAGCCGACCUGAGAGGGUAAUCGGCCACACUGGGACUGAGACACGGCCCAGACUCCUACGGGAGGCAGCAGUAGGGAAUCUUCCACAAUGGACGAAAGUCUGAUGGAGCAACGCCGCGUGAGUGAAGAAGGUUUUCGGAUCGUAAAACUCUGUUGUUGGAGAAGAAUGUAUCUGAUAGUAACUGAUCAGGUAGUGACGGUAUCCAACCAGAAAGCCACGGCUAACUACGUGCCAGCAGCCGCGGUAAUACGUAGGUGGCAAGCGUUGUCCGGAUUUAUUGGGCGUAAAGCGAGCGCAGGCGGUUUCUUAAGUCUGAUGUGAAAGCCUUCGGCUCAACCGAAGAAGUGCAUCGGAAACUGGGAAACUUGAGUGCAGAAGAGGACAGUGGAACUCCAUGUGUAGCGGUGAAAUGCGUAGAUAUAUGGAAGAACACCAGUGGCGAAGGCGGCUGUCUGGUCUGUAACUGACGCUGAGGCUCGAAAGCAUGGGUAGCAAACAGGAUUAGAUACCCUGGUAGUCCAUGCCGUAAACGAUGAGUGCUAGGUGUUGGGAGGGUUUCCGCCCUUCAGUGCCGCAGCUAACGCAUUAAGCACUCCGCCUGGGGAGUACGACCGCAAGGUUGAAACUCAAAGGAAUUGACGGGGGCCCGCACAAGCGGUGGAGCAUGUGGUUUAAUUCGAAGCAACGCGAAGAACCUUACCAGGUCUUGACAUCCUUUGACCACUCUAGAGAUAGAGCUUUCCCUUCGGGGACAAAGUGACAGGUGGUGCAUGGUUGUCGUCAGCUCGUGUCGUGAGAUGUUGGGUUAAGUCCC
rnacentral:rRNA from 1 species